AGAGUUUGAUCCUGGCUCAGAUUGAACGCUGGCGGCAGGCCUAACACAUGCAAGUCGAGCGGUAACACAGGAGAGCUUGCUCUCUGGGUGACGAGCGGCGGACGGGUGAGUAAUGUCUGGGAAACUGCCUGAUGGAGGGGGAUAACUACUGGAAACGGUAGCUAAUACCGCAUGACCUCGCAAGAGCAAAGUGGGGGACCUUCGGGCCUCACGCCAUCGGAUGUGCCCAGAUGGGAUUAGCUAGUAGGUGGGGUAAUGGCUCACCUAGGCGACGAUCCCUAGCUGGUCUGAGAGGAUGACCAGCCACACUGGAACUGAGACACGGUCCAGACUCCUACGGGAGGCAGCAGUGGGGAAUAUUGCACAAUGGGCGCAAGCCUGAUGCAGCCAUGCGGCGUGUGUGAAGAAGGCCUUAGGGUUGUAAAGCACUUUCAGCGAGGAGGAAGGGUUAAGUGUUAAUAGCACUGAACAUUGACGUUACUCGCAGAAGAAGCACCGGCUAACUCCGUGCCAGCAGCCGCGGUAAUAC
rnacentral:rRNA from 1 species